rnacentral:rRNA from 1 species
CCUACGGGAGGCAGCAGUGGGGAAUAUUGCACAAUGGGGGAAACCCUGAUGCAGCGACGCCGCGUGAGUGAAGAAGUAUCUCGGUACGUAAAGCUCUAUCAGCAGGGAAGAAAAUGACGGUACCUGACUAAGAAGCCCCGGCUAACUACGUGCCAGCAGCCGCGGUAAUACGUAGGGGGCAAGCGUUAUCCGGAUUUACUGGGUGUAAAGGGAGCGUAGACGGCUAAUCAAGUCAGAAGUGAAAACCCAGGGCUCAACUUUGGGACUGCUUUUGAAACUGAGUAGCUAGAGUGCAGGAGAGGUAAGCGGAAUUCCUAGUGUAGCGGUGAAAUGCGUAGAUAUUAGGAGGAACACCAGUGGCGAAGGCGGCUUACUGGACUGUAACUGACGUUGAGGCUCGAAAGCGUGGGGAGCAAACAGGAUUAGAUACCCUUGUAGUC